AAGUCGUAACAAGGUUUCCGUAGGUGAACCUGCGGAAGGAUCAUUAAAUAAUUUAGAUGGCCUUCUAGAACUUGUUCUAGUUAGGUUCAUUCUUUUUUACUGUGAACUGUUUUAAUUUUCAGCGUUUGAGGAAUGUCUUUUAGUCAUAGGGAUAGACUACUAGAAUGUUAACCGAGCUGAAGUCAGGUUUAGACCUGGUAUCCUAUUAAUUAUUUACCAAAAGAAUUCAGUAUUAUUAUUGUAACAUAAGGGUAAAAAACUUAUAAAACAACUUUUAACAACGGAUCUCUUGGUUCUC
rnacentral:misc_RNA from 1 species